AACCAUUCUCACCUGCGGCUAGACCUGCGGAAGGAUCAUUAAAAAGAGUGUGUACCCCUCUGUAAAAUGAGUGGGUUACCUCCCGUCCUUUGUUGACCUCUUAGGAGGUUAUUUUGAACUUUCUGCUUCGGUGGGGUUAAACCUACCGGAACACCCUCAAAUUCUUAUCAUUUAAAAAUUGUUCAGUCUGAUUUUUGUUAAUAAAAACAAAAAACUUUCAACAAUGGAUCUCAGAUCGGA
rnacentral:misc_RNA from 1 species